AGAGUUUGAUCAUGGCUCAGAUUGAACGCUGGCGGCAGGCCUAACACAUGCAAGUCGAACGGUAACAGGAAACAGCUUGCUGUUUCGCAGACGAGUGGCGGACGGGUGAGUAAUGUCUGGGAAACUGCCUGAUGGAGGGGGAUAACUACUGGAAACGGUAGCUAAUACCGCAUAACGUCGCAAGACCAAAGAGGGGGACCUUCGGGCCUCUUGCCAUCAGAUGUGCCCAGAUGGGAUUAGCUAGUAGGUGGGGUAACGGCUCACCUAGGCGACGAUCCCUAGCUGGUCUGAGAGGAUGACCAGCCACACUGGAACUGAGACACGGUCCAGACUCCUACGGGAGGCAGCAGUGGGGAAUAUUGCACAAUGGGCGCAAGCCUGAUGCAGCCAUGCCGCGUGUAUGAAGAAGGCCUUCGGGUUGUAAAGUACUUUCAGCGGGGAGGAAGGGAGUAAAGUUAAUACCUUUGCUCAUUGACGUUACCCGCAGAAGAAGCACCGGCUAACUCCGUGCCAGCAGCCGCGGUAAUACGGAGGGUGCAAGCGUUAAUCGGAAUUACUGGGCGUAAAGCGCACGCAGGCGGUUUGUUAAGUCAGAUGUGAAAUCCCCGGGCUCAACCUGGGAACUGCAUCUGAUACUGGCAAGCUUGAGUCUCGUAGAGGGGGGUAGAAUUCCAGGUGUAGCGGUGAAAUGCGUAGAGAUCUGGAGGAAUACCGGUGGCGAAGGCGGCCCCCUGGACGAAGACUGACGCUCAGGUGCGAAAGCGUGGGGAGCAAGCAGGAUUAGAUACCCUGGUAGUCCACGCCGUAAACGAUGUCGACUUGGAGGUUGUGCCCUUGAGGCGUGGCUUCCGGAGCUAACGCGUUAAGUCGACCGCCUGGGGAGUACGGCCGCAAGGUUAAAACUCAAAUGAAUUGACGGGGGCCCGCACAAGCGGUGGAGCAUGUGGUUUAAUUCGAUGCAACGCGAAGAACCUUACCUGGUCUUGACAUCCACGGAAGUUUUCAGAGAUGAGAAUGUGCCUUCGGGAACCGUGAGACAGGUGCUGCAUGGCUGUCGUCAGCUCGUGUUGUGAAAUGUUGGGUUAAGUCCCGCAACGAGCGCAACCCUUAUCCUUUGUUGCCAGCGGUCCGGCCGGGAACUCAAAGGAGACUGCCAGUGAUAAACUGGAGGAAGGUGGGGAUGACGUCAAGUCAUCAUGGCCCUUACGACCAGGGCUACACACGUGCUACAAUGGCGCAUACAAAGAGAAGCGACCUCGCGAGAGCAGGCGGACCUCAUAAAGUGCGUCGUAGUCCGGAUUGGAGUCUGCAACUCGACUCCAUGAAGUCGGAAUCGCUAGUAAUCGUGGAUCAGAAUGCCACGGUGAAUACGUUCCCGGGCCUUGUACACACCGCCCGUCACACCAUGGGAGUGGGUUGCAAAAGAAGUAGGUAGCUUAACCUUCGGGAGGGCGCUUACCACUUUGUGAUUCAUGACUGGGGUGAAGUCGUAACAAGGUAACCGUAGGGGAACCUGCGGUUG
rnacentral:rRNA from 1 species